AGAGUUUGAUCAUGGCUCAGGAUGAACGCUAGCGGCAGGCUUAACACAUGCAAGUCGAGGGGUAUAGGUUUUCGGACCUAGAGACCGGCGCACGGGUGCGUAACGCGUAUGCAAUCUACCUUUUACAGAGGGAUAGCCCAGAGAAAUUUGGAUUAAUACCUCAUAGUAUAGCUGAACCGCAUGGUUCUACUAUUAAAGUCACAACGGUAAAAGAUGAGCAUGCGUCCCAUUAGCUUGUUGGUAAGGUAACGGCUUACCAAGGCUACGAUGGGUAGGGGUCCUGAGAGGGAGAUCCCCCACACUGGUACUGAGACACGGACCAGACUCCUACGGGAGGCAGCAGUGAGGAAUAUUGGUCAAUGGACGCAAGUCUGAACCAGCCAUGCCGCGUGCAGGAUGACGGUCCUAUGGAUUGUAAACUGCUUUUGCACAGGAAGAAACAACUCUACGUGUAGAGUCUUGACGGUACUGUGAGAAUAAGGAUCGGCUAACUCCGUGCCAGCAGCCGCGGUAAUACGGAGGAUCCAAGCGUUAUCCUGAAUCAUUGGGUUUAAAGGGUCCGUAGGCGGUUUAGUAAGUCAGUGGUGAAAGCCCAUCGCUCAACGGUGGAACGGCCAUUGAUACUGCUAGACUUGAAUUAUUAGGAAGUAACUAGAAUAUGUAGUGUAGCGGUGAAAUGCUUAGAGAUUACAUGGAAUACCAAUUGCGAAGGCAGGUUACUACUAAUGGAUUGACGCUGAUGGACGAAAGCGUGGGUAGCGAACAGGAUUAGAUACCCUGGUAGUCCACGCCGUAAACGAUGGAUACUAGCUGUUGGAAGCAAUUUCAGUGGCUAAGCGAAAGUGAUAAGUAUCCCACCUGGGGAGUACGUUCGCAAGAAUGAAACUCAAAGGAAUUGACGGGGGCCCGCACAAGCGGUGGAGCAUGUGGUUUAAUUCGAUGAUACGCGAGGAACCUUACCAAGGCUUAAAUGUAGAUUGACCGGUUUGGAAACAGACUUUUCGCAAGACAAUUUACAAGGUGCUGCAUGGUUGUCGUCAGCUCGUGCCGUGAGGUGUCAGGUUAAGUCCUAUAACGAGCGCAACCCCUGUUGUUAGUUGCCAGCGAGUCAUGUCGGGAACUCUAACAAGACUGCCAGUGUAAACUGUGAGGAAGGUGGGGAUGACGUCAAAUCAUCACGGCCCUUACGCCUUGGGCUACACACGUGCUACAAUGGCCGGUACAGAGAGCAGCCACUGGGCGACCAGGAGCGAAUCUAUAAAACCGGUCACAGUUCGGAUCGGAGUCUGCAACUCGACUCCGUGAAGCUGGAAUCGCUAGUAAUCGAAUAUCAGCCAUGAUCCGGUGAAUACGUUCCCGGGCCUUGUACACACCGCCCGUCAAGCCAUAGAAGCUGGGGGUGCCUGAAGUCGGUGACCGCAAGGAGCUGCCCAGGGUAAAACUGGUAACUAGGGCUAAGUCGUAACAAGGUA
rnacentral:rRNA from 1 species